AUGCCCAAGGAAGGCAUUGCUGCUGGAGGCGUAGUGGACAUUAACACUGCUUUGCAAGAGGAGCUGAAGACCACCCUCAUCCAUGACGGCUACCAUGGGGAAUUUGUAAAGUAGUCACAGUCUUAGACAAAAGCCACGCCCAUCUCUGUGUUUACAUUCAACUGUAAUGAGCUUUGUAUGUCAAGUUGGUGGAGGCCCUUUGUGCUGAACAGCAAAUCAACCUAAUUAAGACUGAUGACACCAAGAGACUAGGAAUCGAUAGUGGCAGAAACCCCAAAAAAAUGGUUAGUUGCAGUUGUGUAGUAGUUAAGGUCUAUGGCAAAGAAUCUCCGGCCAACCAUGUCAUUAAAGAGUGCUUCAAAUGCCAGAAA
rnacentral:lncRNA from 1 species